rnacentral:sRNA from 1 species
UGCCAUUGGUCCGCGGGGAAGGUUCUGUAGCGCUGUUGAGGUUGUAUCAAGCAUAGAUAAGUAUAUUUAUUUGCAAGGCCGCCUCCGGGAGAUGGCCAGGCACUGACUGAAAACGGUCUGUGCGAGUUUCUGUGUCUGAUGGGCAUUCCCGAGGGGUUCCUCCCGCUCAGCGGCGCUUUUGCCGUGUGACAUGCGUCCAACUGGCUCUGAUGCCGGAGGGAGAGCGCUGCAUAGUAAUCCGUUAUUGCCCAGCCAAGCGUGGGAUCUACGGCGUAAAAAGAAAAGAAAGGGGGAAACUCUCCGAUCCCUUCGUCCCCCUUCCACGGACUUAUUUGCCAUUUACGGGAACGCGGUGUCGGUAGCACUCGUAUGUAAGGUAAAUACCAUAAUCAUGAUAUUCGCCCUUCUAUUGACAGGGGCGAGCUUGUUUACUUCACUUCUGUUUUUGCCAGGGGGAAAAAAAGAA